UCCGUGCAUUGGGGACCACAAUUUGCGGCCCCCCAAUGCACGGGCACUAUCUGUGCGGCUGCCGCGACGGAUCCAGACCCGUUCAACUUAAAUGGGUCCAUGAUCCGUCCGCAGCGCAAAAAAAUAGAACAUUCCAUGUGCUUCCAU